rnacentral:rRNA from 1 species
AUACGUAGGGGGCAAGCGUUAUCCGGAAUUACUGGGCGUAAAGGGUGCGUAGGCGGUUUAUCAAGUCAGGGGUGAAAGGCUACGGCUCAACCGUAGUGAGCCUCUGAAACUGGUGAACUUGAGUGUAGGAGAGGAAAGUGGAAUUCCCAGUGUAGCGGUGAAAUGCGUAGAUAUUGGGGGGAACACCAGUGGCGAAGGCGACUUUCUGGACUACAACUGACGCUGAGGCACGAAAGCGUGGGGAGCAAACAGGAUUAGAUACCCUGGUAGUCCACGCUGUAAACGAUGAGUACUAGGUGUCGGCUGUCAAAGGUCGGUGCCGGCGUUAACACAUUAAGUACUCCGCCUGGGGGGUACGGUCGCAAGACUGAAACUCAAAUGAAUUGACGGGG